rnacentral:rRNA from 2 species
AACCAGAAGGCGCAAUGAAAGUGAAGGCACGGUCGCCGUGCUGAGGUGAGAGCCGGGGCUCGUACCCUGGCGCAUCAUCGACCGAUCCCAUCCACCCUCACGGCGUGGCGGGAUUCGAGUGAGAGUGUACCUGUUGCGACCCGAAAGAUGGUGAACUAUGCCUGAAUAGGGUGAAGCCAGAGGAAACUCUGGUGGAGGCCCGCAGCGAUUCUGACGUGCAAAUCGAUCGUCAAAUUUGGGUAUAGGGGCGAAAGACUAAUCGAACCAUCUAGUAGCUGGUUCCCUCCGAAGUUUCCCUCAGGAUAGCUGUAGCCCGAAGCAGUUUUAUCAGGUAAAGCGAAUGAUUAGAGGUAUCGGGGAAGAAACUUCCUCGACCUAUUCUCAAACUUUAAAUAGGUAAGAAGUCCGACUUGCUCGACUUGAAGCCGGACACAGAAUGCGGGGUUACUAGUGGGCCAUUUUUGGUAAGCAGAACUGGCGAUGCGGGAUGAACCGAACGCUGGGUUAAGGUGCCAAAGUCGACGCUCAUCAGAUCCCACAAA